AUUGAACGCUGGCGGCAUGCCUAACACAUGCAAGUCGAACGAGUGGCGGACGGGUGAGUAAUGUCUGGGAACCUGCCUGGUGGAGGGGGAUAACUACUGGUAACGGUAGCUAAUACCGCAUACCAUCGGAUGUGCCCAGAUGGGAUUAGCUAGUUGGUGGGGUAAAGGCUCACCAAGGCGACGAUCCCUAGCUGGUCUGAGAGGAUGACCAGCCACACUGGAACUGAGACACGGCCCAGACUCCUACGGGAGGCAGCAGUGGGGAAUAUUGCACAAGGGGCGCAAGCCUGAUGCAGCCAUGCCGCGUGUAUGAAGAAGGCCUUCGGGUUGUAAAGUACUUUCAGCGGGGAGGCGUUACCCGCAGAAGAAGCACCGGCUAACUCCGUGCCAGCAGCCGCGGUAAUUC
rnacentral:rRNA from 1 species